rnacentral:rRNA from 1 species
GGCAUAUUUCCUUCAGUCGGCAUGCUGAGGCAGUCGAUGGAGGCCAUGGUGCAGGUCGGGGCAGAGGCGGAGCAGGGCCACUCGCAGGAGAGGACGGUGAGGUUCCAUGUGGACAACGUGCGGACAUGGGCCAGCGCGGCCCUCACCGACGGCGACAUGUGCAUGGAAGGGUUCAUGGGUGAGGCUGCCGCUGGCGGCGGCGUCAGGGAGGCCGUGUGCGGCCAUGUCGCGGGCCUCCUGCACCUCACAGCCAACGCGCUUUGCAUCGUCGGCGCCAUGGCCAACCAAACGGCACCACCAUAG